rnacentral:pre_miRNA from 1 species
UUUGUACUCUCUCCGUUCGGAAUUAUUUAUCACAAAAAUGGAUGUAUCUACAACUAAAAUACAUCUAGAUGCAUUUAUUUUUUGGACAAGUAAUUCCGAACGGAGGGAGUACUUU